AGCGAACGUUAGCGGCGGGCUUAACACAUGCAAGUCGAACGCGAAAGGGAUUCGUCCCCAGUAGCGUGGCGUCCGGGUGGGUAACACGUAGGAAGCCUUGCCUCGAGCGGGGGAUAACGUCCCGAAAGGGACGCUAAUACCGCAUAAGCCCACGCCGGCUCCGGCCGGAGUGGGAAAAGAUGGCCUCUGAAUUCAUGCUAUCUCUUGAGGAUGGGCCUGCGGCGCAGCAGCUAGUUGGUGGGGUAACGGCCUACCAAGGCGAAGACGCGUAGCUGGUCGGGAAGGAUGAUCAGACACACUGGCACAGAAACACGGGCCAGACUCCGACGGGAGGCAGCAGUGGGGAAUAUUGGACAAUGGGCGCAAGCCUGAUCCAGCCACGCCGCGUGAGUGAUGAAGGCCUUCGGGUUGUAAAGCUCUGUGGGGAGGGGCGAAAACGGCUGGUAAGAAACGACCAGUCCUUGACGGUACCUCCUUAGCAAGCACCGGCUAACUCUGUGCCAGCCGCCGCGGUAAAAC
rnacentral:rRNA from 1 species